rnacentral:rRNA from 1 species
CCUACGGGUGGCAGCAGUAGGGAAUAUUGCGCAAUGGACGGAAGUCUGACGCAGCGACGCCGCGUGAGCGAUGAAGGUCUUCGGAUCGUAAAGCUCUGUCCUUGGGGAAGAAGGUCUUCGGACUUGACGGUACCCAAGAAGAAAGCCCCGGCUAACUACGUGCCAGCAGCCGCGGUAAGACGUAGGGGGCGAGCGUUGUCCGGAAUUACUGGGCGUAAAGAGCACGUAGGCGGAUAUUUAAGUCAGGUGUGAAAGACCGCAGCUCAACUGCGGGGUUGCACUUGAAACUGGAUAUCUUGAGGGCAGGAGAGGUCAGUAGAAUUCCUGGUGUAGCGGUGAAAUGCGUAGAAAUCAGGAGGAAUACCAGUGGCGAAGGCGGCUGACUGGACUGACCCUGACGCUGAGGUGCGAAAGCGUGGGGAGCAAACAGGAUUAGAUACCCCUGUAGUCA